UAUCUUUUUGAAAAACAAAAAAUCGCCUUAGUUAGCAAGAAAAGAAAUUCAAGUACAUCACGCUCUCUGGCACGCUACUUCAAACCAACCUCGUGCUGCUAUGUAUGAAAAGAACCCUCUCUAGUGACCCUUCCCUCUCUGUCAACAACGGUACCACGAAAACGCCCGAAAACGUACACGAAUGCACCUUAAAGUGGACUAAUUACAAGUGUGACAUACAGCUUCACAUGUUUACAAACAAAAUGCGUUGACAUACAGACGAAGGUGCAAAGACUGGGCAUGUAAUCACAAUGCGACCUCCAAGCGAAACACUUGCUAAGCAUCACGCACACAGAUGGAAAAGCUUCCCGCGUUUGUGCGGCUAUCAAGCGAUAAGAAGGUACACACGAAAGGCAUAGUUGUGCGUUCCAGAUUGCAGUACAUUACGAUGUCAGUCCACGAUUUGACGUUUAGUACGGUGAACGUGAUGAGCUAGCAGCUAGUGAUUUAUUUGUUUUUUUUCUCCCGGCUUCUUCCAAGGAAUGAUUUAUUGUAAACUCCAAAUAACUACUCCGAUCCGAUGGGAGAGUGCGUUAAGGCGUGUUGUUAUUGCUGUGCAUCCUGCUACAAUACACCGAUCGGUUGCCUCGGAGGUCUGUGCUGUUUGCUGAUACCAGUGCUCGGAUUGCUAAUCAUUCUGUUGGGGCUAGUGUUUGGGAUGAUCGUAGGACUUGCCUGGCUAGCACAACACCACACCGAACCAGACACUGUUAAACGUAUGCUGGCAAUAUUGGCAAACAGUUCCGCCAGUGAGUCUUUCGGAACGGACGGUCAUGCCAUUGAGGAGUAGAGAAAGUUACGCUACGAUGGACGUGGAGGAGUUCUUAUCAGUCGGUUAUCGCCACGGAGCAAAGGUACAACAAAACCAACACACUUGCUGGAGGUAGUAUGUGCUUGCCGAAUGUUUACAGAUACCCAGUGACAGCUUUUGUGUCGCAUGAUUGAUAUCGGGGUUUAUUAAACUAAUUGUAGAGGAGAAAUUCUUCUUGGAAAUCAAGCAGUAUGAAGCAUCGUAUGAAAUAACUUUGAAGAAAUUUUAAAAGAGUUGUCAUGAGGCCCUCAAAAGCUAGCAAUUCACAACGUUCUCGAAUGGUCAAGGAAAAAGCCUGCGUACUCCCGCAAUGCGUUACGGCAGAUGGCAACUUCAAGAUUAGAUUUCCCAGAUUAUCCGACCAGCACCCGAUACCGCCUUCAUCGUUCAGCAAACACGACCAACGUGUAUAUAGGAUAUAUAGGUCACCAGGUUCCAAAAAUUUCUGCCGGUUCGGUUCGCAAAACGUGAAACAAGCUCCCUGACAACUGCCAUUAUUGCCACGCAACGAAGGAAACGAUAUUCAUUACAACUAGCCUCCUGUAGCGCGUGUGAGUGUUUUGUAAGUGCGUAUCGACUUACACGUCAAUUACCUCAUUCAACAGAUUGGGGUCUUCUGAGUCACCGAGCAGCACAACGAGGAAGGAUUCCCGUCCGGAGCUGGUAAUUGACCUCACACACAGUGGAACCGUGGCAUGUAAAACAUCAACGACGUCUUAAAUCACACGGGAGAUCUUGGACGUAUUAAGCCGAAGGAGACGUGCUUCAAGCCGUCAGCUGGACCGCCAGUUGCAUUAUUAUAUGCGUCAUAAAGAAUUCGCAGUAAUGUUCAGCUGAGAGUUUAAAGGAAGAAACUUAAAAUAAACCUAAUACAUUGAGAAGGAACGUCGUUGUGGACAUAAACUGAGCACGCUCUUGCGGACGUUUUAUGUUGGCUGUGGAUAUGUGAUGUACCUUUAUUUUCACGAUGGUAACACUGUAAUUUGUCGUUAAUUUUAUUGCACCGUAUGGGUAUUGUCGUUUCGGUGCUCGUAAAGUUUAAUAUUGAAUCAAACGUUUACUUUACUUGCACGGUGCUGCUGGAUAAGUCUAUAUUCCCCAAGACUUAUAAGAGCCAAGCAGGAACUGUAGCAUGUUUAACUCCCGCGCGUUAAACUCAAACAAGAUCGUCGUCGUAGCGCUAUAACUGCAAACCUAAAGAUUGCGUAAAAGUGUUGAUGCGGGACUCUUGUAGUGCGCCUACCCGGUUCGUCCCGAAAAGUAGGGUACCCAUUCCCAUUGCCCAAAAAGCGUGAACCACUUCCUAGAACCCAUCACCGGUGGGAAUUAUUGCUCCUUGUUCGAAAUUGCAUCGAACUACGACUACGCGGCUCUGCGUUAUGUGAUCUUCUCCUGCUGCCUUUAUGGCAAGGAAAGUGUUGCUCGAGUGUUGCUCCCCUCAAACUGGGCCCCCGCCGAAACAAAACGUUUAAAAUAGUGCUCCGGGUGAAGGCCCACCAGAAGGCAGAAGCUUCCCACCGCGCGACCAUCGUUAACUGGCGACAUGACACUAAACAACGCUCCCGGUCCCCGGUGGAGACGCGCGCAGACGAAAUGAAUACAUGCUCCAACAAAAUUGGCCACACGCUUGUCCCCUUUCCAUCCCGUCUCUCUGGCCUGUUUGCUCCCGGGCUGCUUCGGGAAAUGCUUCAGACGACGACAAAAAUGGGCCCACACCGUCGAUGGGCUCAUCGUGGUAGAGGAGUUUUGAUGGGAAAAGUAAAAACUCAUCCGAAAAAACAAAAACACUCUCAUACAUACACCACAGCCGACGCUACACAGUGUGGAG